CACUCUUCCUAGAGAUGUGAUUAAGUGCCAUAUUUUGAAGCUUUCGAACGUGUUAAGCUGCUUGUUACACGGGGCUGACUCAUGCAAGGGUUCAUUUGGAUGAGUGGAUUUGUGUGUUGUACUAUGGCUUAGUGGACAGAGGAUUUGGGAGGUUGGAAUUUCCGUUCUACUUUCUCAGUGACGUGGUGCAUGAACACUAAGUAUCUGAGAACAUUAAGGUCUCUGAGUGUUUCACCUUUAAGUCUUUGUGGACCCUACAUUGGACUCGAGGGUGAUUGGCUCAGUUGUGUCACCCGUGGACUGACAAGGUUCAUGUGGCUGAUGGACCGACCUGGCUGACAAGUUCGCCUUGCCAAUCGCUGAGACCUCCUGUUGCUAUCAGCUACUGCGAUGAAAUGCACACACGGGGUGUCAAUCUAUGUGUCCGUGUCCGGUAGCCUUCUCAUUCUCUUCACCUCCAGUGACUAAUCUCUUGGCAUAUCUGCUCCCCUUCUGCUCUCUCUACUCAUCAGGAUGGUUCUGUGCUUCAUUACUCUGUCCUCAACCCUCACCCCAGGCUGUCCAUCGUGAUUUUCAAUAUCUUCUUGGUAAUGAUCCCUUUGGAGAUGAUUAUAGUCAUGGUCCAUGUGGCCAGAAGAACAGAGAAGCAGGGAUCUCGGUCCCAAGUGAACCCUUGAAGUGCAGCUUUAUUGAGAUGUGUGAAGUGACUCAGUCAUGUCCGACUCUGCGACCCCAUGGACUGAAGCCUGCCAGUCUUCUCCAUCCUUAAGAUUUUCCAGGCAAGAAUACUGGAGUGGGUUGCCAUUUCUUUCUCCAUUAUUGAGAUAUAAUUGUCAAAU
rnacentral:lncRNA from 1 species